rnacentral:rRNA from 1 species
UACGUAGGGGCCUAGCGUUGUCCGGAUUUAUUGGGCGUAAAGAGUGCGUAGGCGGUGCUCUAAGUUUGGUGUGAAAUCUCCCGGCUCAACUGGGAGGGUGCGCCGAAAACUGGAGUGCUUGAGUAUGGGAGAGGCAAGCGGAAUUCCUGGUGUAGCGGUGAAAUGCGUAGAUAUCAGGAGGAACACCGGUGGUGCAGACGGCUCUCUGGACCGUAACUGACGCUGAGACACGAAAGCGUGGGUAGCAAACAGG